AAAUUGAAGAGUUUGAUCAUGGCUCAGAUUGAACGCUGGCGGCAGGCCUAACACAUGCAAGUCGAGCGGAAACGAGUUAUCUGAACCUUCGGGGGACGAUAACGGCGUCGAGCGGCGGACGGGUGAGUAAUGCCUAGGAAAUUGCCCUGAUGUGGGGGAUAACCAUUGGAAACGAUGGCUAAUACCGCAUAAUGCCUACGGGCCAAAGAGGGGGACCUUCGGGCCUCUCGCGUCAGGAUAUGCCUAGGUGGGAUUAGCUAGUUGGUGAGGUAAUGGCUCACCAAGGCGACGAUCCCUAGCUGGUCUGAGAGGAUGAUCAGCCACACUGGAACUGAGACACGGUCCAGACUCCUACGGGAGGCAGCAGUGGGGAAUAUUGCACAAUGGGCGCAAGCCUGAUGCAGCCAUGCCGCGUGUGUGAAGAAGGCCUUCGGGUUGUAAAGCACUUUCAGUCGUGAGGAAGGUAGUGUAGUUAAUAGCUGCAUUAUUUGACGUUAGCGACAGAAGAAGCACCGGCUAACUCCGUGCCAGCAGCCGCGGUAAUACGGAGGGUGCGAGCGUUAAUCGGAAUUACUGGGCGUAAAGCGCAUGCAGGUGGUUUGUUAAGUCAGAUGUGAAAGCCCGGGGCUCAACCUCGGAAUAGCAUUUGAAACUGGCAGACUAGAGUACUGUAGAGGGGGUAGAAUUUCAGGUGUAGCGGUGAAAUGCGUAGAGAUCUGAAGGAAUACCGGUGGCGAAGGCGGCCCCCUGGACAGAUACUGACACUCAGAUGCGAAAGCGUGGGGAGCAAACAGGAUUAGAUACCCUGGUAGUCCACGCCGUAAACGAUGUCUACUUGGAGGUUGUGGCCUUGAGCCGUGGCUUUCGGAGCUAACGCGUUAAGUAGACCGCCUGGGGAGUACGGUCGCAAGAUUAAAACUCAAAUGAAUUGACGGGGGCCCGCACAAGCGGUGGAGCAUGUGGUUUAAUUCGAUGCAACGCGAAGAACCUUACCUACUCUUGACAUCCAGAGAACUUUCCAGAGAUGGAUUGGUGCCUUCGGGAACUCUGAGACAGGUGCUGCAUGGCUGUCGUCAGCUCGUGUUGUGAAAUGUUGGGUUAAGUCCCGCAACGAGCGCAACCCUUAUCCUUGUUUGCCAGCGAGUAAUGUCGGGAACUCCAGGGAGACUGCCGGUGAUAAACCGGAGGAAGGUGGGGACGACGUCAAGUCAUCAUGGCCCUUACGAGUAGGGCUACACACGUGCUACAAUGGCGCAUACAGAGGGCAGCCAACUUGCGAAAGUGAGCGAAUCCCAAAAAGUGCGUCGUAGUCCGGAUUGGAGUCUGCAACUCGACUCCAUGAAGUCGGAAUCGCUAGUAAUCGUGGAUCAGAAUGCCACGGUGAAUACGUUCCCGGGCCUUGUACACACCGCCCGUCACACCAUGGGAGUGGGCUGCAAAAGAAGUAGGUAGUUUAACCUUCGGGGGGACGCUUACCACUUUGUGGUUCAUGACUGGGGUGAAGUCGUAACAAGGUAGCGCUAGGGGAACCUGGCGCUGGAUCACCUCCUUA
rnacentral:rRNA from 1 species